UACGAAGGGGGCUAGCGUUGUUCGGAUUUACUGGGCGUAAAGCGCACGUAGGCGGACUUUUAAGUCAGAGGUGAAAUCCCAAGGCUCAACCUUGGAACUGCCUUUGAUACUGGAAGUCUUGAGUAUGGUAGAGGUUGGUGGAACUGCGAGUGUAGAGGUGAAAUUCGUAGAUAUUCGCAAGAACACCAGUGGCGAAGGCGGCCAACUGGACCAUUACUGACGCUGAGGUGCGAAAAGCGUGGGGAGCAAACAGG
rnacentral:rRNA from 1 species